rnacentral:lncRNA from 1 species
CAAAAUUAUUAUGGUAGAUGAAACUGCACCUUAAGGACAACCAUGGCCGAGGCAGCCUCAAGGAUUGAUUUAGAUGCACGAAUUCAUAAUAAUUAAUCAAUUAGAAAUCAAAAACACAUAAGAACAUGCUAUUGCCCUAAAACCUAAAUCACGAAAUCAUCAUAUAUUCAAGAAGUUACAAAUCAAAACAUAGAACAAUCAAAGAUCACAAAGAAAUCCGAAAACCAUGUUUGAUAAAUAAAACCAAAAUCGAAAAGUAUAUUACAAUAGAGUUUGAAACUAUACAGAAAAUAAUACAAGAAGCCAUGAGAAAAUCACACUUUUACAACCUUGAAAGAUUCGGCAAGUGUGGGGAAAAUCGGUGGAAGGAUGGAAUAAUUCUUUUGGUUUGUGGUGGAUGAAUCGGCUAAGUAAUUUUCUGUAUAGGGUUUGGUAGAGUUUCGGCUAUGUAAUUGCAAGAGUAGAGAUGAUGUUUUUCUGUUCUUGAAGUUGUGCUUUAUAUAGAGGAAAAACCCUAGAGAAGUCGGCCACAAAGUUGAAACCAAGUUGGUUUAGGUUUCCCUAGUUUUUCUUAAUUCGGCAGAAUGACCUCCAUCUGAUGAUUACGUCAUAACUCCCUCUAGAAAAUAUAUAUAUUGAGGUGAUUCCAAUUGAUUUGGAAACUAGACUCCCGUAGCUCUCUAUCCAUAUCUAGCACGUUUUCUGAUUCAUUGUGAGCUGUCCUGGAAAGUCCGUUGAAGUUGACAGACGUGCACAGGAAUUCUCCCGAUUUAAUCCGGAUUUUCAAGACUUGGAUAUUCCUUGAUAUUCUGCCGAAUUUAGAUCUUCUUCUCCAUAUUGGACUUGGUUUGGACCUCUCCUUCAUGGACUAGGCUUCGUGGAUCAGCUGCUUUGCUUCCCUAGGUCCAUCAGGAACACUUCUCUCGGCAAUGAUUCAAGCAUAACUUCAAUUCUCCUGAUUCUUUCUCCCAUAACUCUUCUACAUAUCACCUAAGUAUCAGAGAAGUUAAAU